GGGGACUUAGCUCAGUUGGCUAGAGCGCCUGCCUUGCACGCAGGAGGUCAAGGGUUCGAUUCCCUUAGUCUCCACCA
rnacentral:tRNA from 1 species